CGAAGUUUUGCUCUUUAAAAAUCUGGAUCAAGCUGAAAAUUGAAACACUGAACAACGCAAGUUGUUCGUGAGUCUCUCAAAUUUUCGCAACACGAUGAUGAAUCGAAAGAAACAUNCACACUAUCAUUAACUGAAUCCAUAGGUUAAUGAGGCGAACCGGGGGAACUGAAACAUCUAAGUACCCCGAGGAAAAGAAAUCAACCGAGAUUCCCCCAGUAGCGGCGAGCGAACGGGGAGCAGCCCAGAGCCUGAAUCAGUGUGUGUGUUAGUGGAAGCGUCUGGAAAGGCGCGCGAUACAGGGUGACAGCCCCGUACACAAAAAUGCACAUACUGUGAGCUCGAUGAGUAGGGCGGGACACGUGGUAUCCUGUCUGAAUAUGGGGGGACCAUCCUCCAAGGCUAAAUACUCCUGACUGACCGAUAGUGAACCAGUACCGUGAGGGAAAGGCGAAAAGAACCCCGGCGAGGGGAGUGAAAAAGAACCUGAAACCGUGUACGUACAAGCAGUGGGAGCNGUGACUGCGUACCUUUUGUAUAAUGGGUCAGCGACUUAUAUUCUGUAGCAAGGUUAACCGAAUAGGGGAGCCGAAGGGAAACCGAGUCUUAACUGGGCGUUAAGUUGCAGGGUAUAGACCCGAAACCCGGUGAUCUAGCCAUGGGCAGGUUGAAGGUUGGGUAACACUAACUGGAGGACCGAACCGACUAAUGUUGAAAAAUUAGCGGAUGACUUGUGGCUGGGGGGGAAAGGCCAAUCAAACCGGGAGAUAGCUGGUUCUCCCCGAAAGCUAUUUAGGUAGCGCCUCGUGAAUUCAUCUCCGGGGGUAGAGCACUGUUUCGGCAAGGGGGUCAUCCCGACUUACCAACCCGAUGCAAACUGCGAAUACCGGAGAAUGUUAUCACGGGAGACACACGGCGGGUGCUAACGUCCGUCGUGAAGAGGGAAACAACCCAGACCGCCAGCUAAGGUCCCAAAGUCAUGGUUAAGUGGGAAACGAUGUGGGAAGGCCCAGACAGCCAGGAUGUUGGCUUAGAAGCAGCCAUCAUUUAAAGAAAGCGUAAUAGCUCACUGGUCGAGUCGGCCUGCGCGGAAGAUGUAACGGGGCUAAACCAUGCACCGAAGCUGCGGCAGCGACACUGUGUGUUGUUGGGUAGGGGAGCGUUCUGUAAGCCUGUGAAGGUGUNAUGCUGGAGGUAUCAGAAGUGCGAAUGCUGACAUAAGUAACGAUAAAGCGGGUGAAAAGCCCGCUCGCCGGAAGACCAAGGGUUCCUGUCCAACGUUAAUCGGGGCAGGGUGAGUCGACCCCUAAGGCGAGGCCGAAAGGCGUAGUCGAUGGGAAACAGGUUAAUAUUCCUGUACUUGGUGUUACUGCGAAGGGGGGACGGAGAAGGCUAUGUUGGCCGGGCGACGGUUGUCCCGGUUUAAGCGUGUAGGCUGGUUUUCCAGGCAAAUCCGGAAAAUCAAGGCUGAGGCGUGAUGACGAGGCACUACGGUGCUGAAGCAACAAAUGCCCUGCUUCCAGGAAAAGCCUCUAAGCAUCAGGUAACAUCAAAUCGUACCCCAAACCGACACAGGUGGUCAGGUAGAGAAUACCAAGGCGUUUGAGAGAACUCGGGUGAAGGAACUAGGCAAAAUGGUGCCGUAACUUCGGGAGAAGGCACGCUGAUAUGUAGGUGAAGUCCCUCGCGGAUGGAGCUGAAAUCAGUCGAAGAUACCAGCUGGCUGCAACUGUUUAUUAAAAACACAGCACUGUGCAAACACGAAAGUGGACGUAUACGGUGUGACGCCUGCCCGGUGCCGGAAGGUUAAUUGAUGGGGUCAGCGCAAGCGAAGCUCUUGAUCGAAGCCCCGGUAAACGGCGGCCGUAACUAUAACGGUCCUAAGGUAGCGAAAUUCCUUGUCGGGUAAGUUCCGACCUGCACGAAUGGCGUAAUGAUGGCCAGGCUGUCUCCACCCGAGACUCAGUGAAAUUGAACUCGCUGUGAAGAUGCAGUGUACCCGCGGCAAGACGGAAAGACCCCGUGAACCUUUACUAUAGCUUGACACUGAACAUUGAGCCUUGAUGUGUAGGAUAGGUGGGAGGCUUUGAAGUGUGGACGCCAGUCUGCAUGGAGCCGACCUUGAAAUACCACCCUUUAAUGUUUGAUGUUCUAACGUGGACCCGUGAUCCGGGUUGCGGACAGUGUCUGGUGGGUAGUUUGACUGGGGCGGUCUCCUCCUAAAGAGUAACGGAGGAGCACGAAGGUUGGCUAAUCCUGGUCGGACAUCAGGAGGUUAGUGCAAUGGCAUAAGCCAGCUUGACUGCGAGCGUGACGGCGCGAGCAGGUGCGAAAGCAGGUCAUAGUGAUCCGGUGGUUCUGAAUGGAAGGGCCAUCGCUCAACGGAUAAAAGGUACUCCGGGGAUAACAGGCUGAUACCGCCCAAGAGUUCAUAUCGACGGCGGUGUUUGGCACCUCGAUGUCGGCUCAUCACAUCCUGGGGCUGAAGUAGGUCCCAAGGGUAUGGCUGUUCGCCAUUUAAAGUGGUACGCGAGCUGGGUUUAGAACGUCGUGAGACAGUUCGGUCCCUAUCUGCCGUGGGCGCUGGAGAACUGAGGGGGGCUGCUCCUAGUACGAGAGGACCGGAGUGGACGCAUCACUGGUGUUCGGGUUGUCAUGCCAAUGGCACUGCCCGGUAGCUAAAUGCGGAAGAGAUAAGUGCUGAAAGCAUCUAAGCACGAAACUUGCCCCGAGAUGAGUUCUCCCUGACCCUUUAAGGGUCCUGAAGGAACGUUGAAGACGACGACGUUGAUAGGCCGGGUGUGUAAGCGCAGCGAUGCGUUGAGCUAACCGGUACUAAUGAACCGUGAGGCUUAACC
rnacentral:rRNA from 1 species